CCUACGGGGGGCAGCAGUGAGGAAUAUUGGUCAAUGGCCGUAAGGCUGAACCAGCUAAGUCGCGUGAAGGAAGAAGGACCUAUUGUUUGUAAACUUCUUUUAUAGGGGAAUAAAGGUAUCCACGUGUGGAUAUUUGCAUGUACCCUAUGAAUAAGCUUCGGCGAACUCAGCGCCAGCAGCCGCGGUAAUACGGAGGAUGCGAGCGUUAUUCGGAUUGAUUGGGUUUAAAGGGUGCGUAGGUUGUUUUUUAAGUCAGCGGUGAAAGUUUGUGGCUCAACCAUGAAAUUGCCGUUGAAACUGGAUGACUUGAGUGUGUUUGAGGUAGGCGGAAUGCGUGGUGUAGCAGUGAAAUGCAUAGAUAUCACGAAGAACUCCGAUUGCGAAGGCAGCUUACUAAGCCAUAACUGACACUGAAGCACGAAAGCGUGGGGAUCAAACAGGAUUAGAUACCCCUGUAGUC
rnacentral:rRNA from 1 species